rnacentral:rRNA from 1 species
UACGUAGGGUGCAAGCGUUGUCCGGAUUUAUUGGGCGUAAAGAGCUCGUAGGCGGUCUGUCGCGUCGGAUGUGAAAACCCAGGGCUCAACCCUGGGCCUGCAUUCGAUACGGGCAGACUAGAGUGUGGCAGGGGAGACUGGAAUUCCCAGUGUAGAGGUGAAAUUCGUAGAUAUUGGGAAGAACACCGGUGGCGAAGGCGGCUCUCUGGACCGUAACUGACGCUGAGGCGCGAAAGCGUGGGGAGCAAACAGG